UACGUAGGGGGCAAGCGUUGUCCGGAUUUAUUGGGCGUAAAGAGCGUGUAGGCGGCCAUACAGGUCAGCUGUGAAAACUCGAGGCUCAACCUCGAGACGUCGGUUGAAACCGUAUGGCUAGAGUCCGGAAGAGGAGAGUGGAAAUUCCCGGUGUAGCGGUGAAAUGCGCAGAUAUCGGGAAGAACACCCGUGGCGAAGGCGGCUCUCUGGGACGGUACUGGACGCUGAGACGCGAAAGCGUGGGGAGCGAACAGG
rnacentral:rRNA from 1 species